UACGAAGGGUGCAAGCGUUACUCGGAAUUACUGGGCGUAAAGCGUGCGUAGGUGGUGAGUUAAGUCUGUCGUGAAAGCCCCGGGCUCAACCUGGGAAUGGCGAUGGAUACUGGCUCGCUAGAGUGCGGUAGAGGAGAGUGGAAUUCCCGGUGUAGCAGUGAAAUGCGUAGAGAUCGGGAGGAACAUCAGUUGCGAAGGCGGCUCUCUGGACCAGUACUGACGCUGAGGCACGAAAGCGUGGGGAGCAAACAGG
rnacentral:rRNA from 1 species